GGAUGUGAGAGCAAUCUGGCUGCAACAUCUGUCACCCCAUUGAUUGCCAGGGUUGAUUUGGCUGAUCUGGCUGGCUAGGCAGGUGUCCCCUUCCUCCCUCACUGCUCCAUGUGCAUCCCUCCUGAAGCUGCAUGCUUGGUCGAGGAGGAUGACCUUCCCCACUAGAGGAGGACCGUUCUUUGGUCAAGGGUAUACGAAUAGCUGCGUUCCCCUGCUAGAACUACCAAAAAAGUUCUCAAUAUGUCUUUGGCUAGUCAGGGCCUCUUUCCCUUCCAAGCAAAUUUUAUAGUUCGUUUUU
rnacentral:snRNA from 1 species